rnacentral:ncRNA from 2 species
UAAUCUUAUUUAACUCUAGGCUUUACAAUUGUAAAUGAGAAAGAAAACUCAUUGAAAUAAGAUACUACAUUAAAUACUGAUAAUAUUUA